rnacentral:rRNA from 1 species
GGGCCCGCACAAGCGGUGGAGUAUGUGGUUUAAUUCGAUGCAACGCGAAGAACCUUAUCCUAGUCUUGACAUGUAUGGAUUAACCCUGUGAAAGCAGGGCCACGCCUUCGGGUGGAACAUACACAGGUGCUGCAUGGCUGUCGUCAGCUCGUGUCGUGAGAUGUCGCGUUAAGUCGCUUAACGAGCGAAACCCUUGUCUCUAGUUGCCAGCGCGUAAUGGCGGGGACUCUAGAGAGACCGCCGGCGUUAAGCCGGAGGAAGGUGGGGAUGACGUCAAGUCCUCAUGGCCCUUAUGACUAGGGCUGCACACGUCCUACAAUGGAACGCACAAAGGGAUGCGAAACCGCGAGGUCAAGCAAAUCCCAAAAAUCGUUCCCUAGUUCGGAUUGCAGGCUGCAACUCGCCUGCAUGAAGCUGGAAUCGCUAGUAAUCGCGGGUC